AGAAUGAAAAUAUUUAGAUAAACACAAAUAAGCAUGUUUAAAAGGAAAUGAACCCAACUGAUAUAAAAGGGAGAAGAUUCUGACCGAAAUUUGUCAUCUCAUCAUUGAGCUUAAGUUCUUACUGGGUUACUACAUCAGAUAUGACUAUGACAAUUUGUCACCUCAACAGUUGAUGGACAUAUGGGAUAUUUCCAGUUUGAAGUAAUUAUAAAUAAACCCUUAAUGAAACUUAAUAAGUGGAUAUAUGCCUUCCAUUUCUUUCAGGUCAACGUUCUCCUGUCUUAUACAAGCAAAUGUAAUGGAGGUUGUGUGCAUCUACAGGAAUUAAAACUACAUGGUCUUUGUAUGGUGACAAGGGAGCUAUACUUGUAAGAAGAGCUUAAUGUACAAACUGGUUGAAUCACUAUGUUGUGCACCAGGAACUAAUGGAACAUCAUGUGUCAAUUAUAUUUCAAUAAAAAAAUUAAAGAAUCUUAAAAAACUCUUUAUAGAUAAAAACA